UCCUAUUUUUCUCUAAGUCCAUUUUUGAUAUGAAGGCCCAUUCAAAUACUCAACCAAGUUUUAUGUCAAGGUUAGCUCUGAGAAUAGACAGCUGGUAUCUCAUCUUUGAGUUGUGGAAGCCACAUUACAAUCUAGAACUUCCAAACCAUCGGCAUGGAGUGGGGGAGAAGAGAUCCAUCCCUUUCAGGAAGCCUUCACCAGCCCAGCCAAGAGGAAGCUCAGGCCUCAGGUUGAGGCAGGUUCCCAUGAAGCAGCCAAAAGUUUGCAAAACAAGUGCCGAGAUGAGACUCAGGCUUUGGAUUCAUGGUAAGGUUGCAACAGUCUUGGAAGGCUGAGCUGACAGAAGAGCCUUGGGGAGCCAGGCCUGUGACACAACUGCCUGGGCAGAGCCAGGGUCCCCUUGUGCUCACUGCCUGGGUCUCAGUUCUCAGCAAGGAGGGACUAACUGGCUGGGAUAAUAGUCCCGUGUUUAUAUUUGAAAAGGGAUACUGCAUUUCCAGGAUAAUCCCCUCCAGCCUCCUCUUAGGCUAAGAUUUCCAACUGGUCUAGAAUGUUGAAGAGAAAUCAGGGGCUGAUUACCUGGCCGACAGGGCUGCAAUCACACCUUUCAAUAUGAAUUAUACACUCUUUGAGUUCAAUGACAUUGAGCAUCCAGGCUCUGGCUGGGGCAAAGCCUGUUCAAUGGUUUCCAUCACUGGCUUAAGACAAUGAUUUGAAUGGACAAAGUCCCCUCACUGCGCUUGAUAAGCAGGAAAUGAACGCUUGUUUGCAAAUAAGAUUGAGAAACGUGAUCAGCUUCUUGUUCGGCAUCUGUCUUUGGGAAAGCAGCUCCUGAUAAGACUAAUGUCGAAAUAUGUUAGAAGACACCAGGGGUGGUGGGAGCCUUCCCUGUCCUCCUCCAUCCCCACCCCUACCUUCUUUGUUUGCUUUGAUGGAACAGGGUCUCAGUCUGUAGCUUAGGCUGGCUUCAAAUCAUGGUGCAGUCCUCCUGCCUCAGCAUCUCAGGUGCUAGGAUCACAGAUAUGAACCAUUAUGCCUGGCUGUAUUCCCAAUUUAUAUGUAUCUGAAGCAGCAAAGGCAAAAAAGGUGUUUUAGCUUGAAAGACUGUUUCUUUGAGGGGAUUUAAAUACAGCAGGGGCCGACUUGACAUAACACUUCUGUUCUGUUUUGUCAUUUAAAAAUUGUUUCCAUUUUUUGGGUUUUGAGACAGAGUCUUGCUACAUGUAUCAGGAUGGGCUGGAAUUCUCUGUGUGGGCCAGGCUGGCCUAGAGCUCACAGCAAUCCUCCUGCCUCAGUUUUGCCCUAUUACCCAUGGCUUUUCUAGAUUUCUGUUCCUAUUCUCCGCCCUCUCUGAUACCUUCCCUUAAAAGGAUCUUCGUUUUUGAAUGGAACAAAAAUUUUGCUGAGACUUGGAUGCAACCCGAUAUCAUACAUUCAAUACAUAAACAGCUUUGGUAUAUAGCCUCAGUUUGGGGACAAGUUACUUGGUGCAUGGAAAAGCAUUGGGUGCUUUUUAGAUUGGGAAGGAGGAGGCUGUGGGCUGGGGAAAGAGACAGACUACAGGUUAGUAUUUGACUGGGUGUUGUUUGCAUUCAUGUAUAUCUUGAUGCAGUACUUUUGGGGAAAAAUUGGCAUCCACAGUCUUUCGUUUUGGGGGAAUAUUAUUUUCAAGUUUUGAGUUCUUGGUCAUCUUUGUGUAUGUGUGUAUGUAUAUGUGCAAUGUGUGUAUGUGUGCAUGUGUAGAGGGGCAAAGGACAUCUUUAGGUGUCAUUUCUUAGGCCUGCCAACACUUUCAUUUUAAUUAAAAAUUGUUUAUUUUAUGUGUAUGUGUGUAUGUAUAUGUGUAGUGUGUGUGUGUGCAUGUGUAGAGGGGCAAAGGACAUCUUUAGGUGUCAUUUCUCAGGCCUGCCAACACUUUCAUUUUAAUUAAAAAUUAUUUAUUUUAUGUGUAUGUGUGUGUGCCUGAGUUUGCAUCCAUACAUGCACCAUGUGAGUGAAGGUGACCAUGAAGGCCAGAAGAGGGCAUUAGAGCUCCUGGAACUGGAGUUAGGAGGCAGUUGUGAGCUACCUGAUGUGGGUGCUGGGAACUGAACCUGGGUCUUCUGUAAGAGUAGGUUCUCUUAACCCAGAGCCAUCUCUCUUCGUCCUCCUUUUAAAGCUUUUAUUUUGUGUUUCUUUAUUUAUUCAUUUUUAUGUUUGAGUGGUUUUGUAUAUGUACCAUGUGCAGGCAGUGCCCUGCCUCUUCGGCAAAGAUGCUAAAGCACAUGUAAUGUGACUCAAGAGAAGCAAAGAGACAGACAGACAGAUAGACAGACAGACAACAACAAAAUAGAGUCUCAAGAGUUUGGGUGAGGUAAUACGAGAGUAGGAUGGGUCUGUAUAAAUAGGAAAUUUAGAGCCUCUUACAGAGGAAAGGUAAGAAGAAGCUGUGCAACCGGGGCUGUGUCUAAGAUGGAGGAUUGGUGUGGAGGUACGUCAAGGAGCCCCUGAGAUUACUGGAAGCUGGGAGAGAGAAACGGCAGAGAUCCUCUCUAGAGCCUUCAGAGAGAGCCAUCACCUUGGAUUUGGACUUCUAGACUCCAGACGGAUGAUAGAGCGCUUUGCAUGCUGUCCAGUGCACUCAGUGUGUGGCAGCUGUCUGGCGGCUCUAGGAUAGGAAUCCGUUUAGCUUCCACAGGGACAGACAGUUUGGAAAGCAGUAGCAGUUAUCGGCUCACCUGAGCCAAGCAGCACUAGUGGCCUGUAAUUUUCCAACACAGCCAGUGGGAGGUUCUCAGAACGUAGGUCUGGUCCCACUGGGGCCCCAAGUCCUCUCUUAGCCUAGAGGAGUUUCUGUGGCAGAGGAGGAGGUGUCAGCCGCACGCAUGCCUUAGGAUGCAUUGCUAAGCGGCUAGGAUGUCAGGGAGACAUCCUUUGGUAGCCUGGCCUUCUGCUUUGAAUCCCUCUUCCAUUGUCUCCCUCCUCACCCUGGAAGGGAAGGCAAGGGAAAGCUAACACAGGGACAAGCGUCUACUGUCGAGUCACGUGUGGUCAAAGCCAUGGAGAGUGUCAAUUUUUUUUAAACCUCCUUGCCGUGACAUAGUGACAUGGAUGAGGAGUCUCUUUGGCACACCUUUCGAGCUAACCCCUCCAAUAUUGCCUGACUCUUGGAGGAAAUGGAGGCUCUCUGGACUGAAAGGAGGUCAUGAACUUCACUUUGUCUUCCUUUUGCUGCUACCAGGAGGACCAUAGAGUCCACAAGAUUCUAAGCUGAGGUGAUUCUUUGCCCGUUUGGCUUCUGCUCCAGGUGAAAAGCAGCCAGGGAGAGUCCUCUUUUGUCUCAGACCUUAUGUUUUACUUAAAACCACGAACCAUGGGAAAUGCUCUGAGAGCGAUAUGAAAACUUCCUUUUUCUUGAGGCUUCUGAGGUUCAUAGAGGAGACUAUGCUCAAAACCCCCUUGUCUCAAUGGCACUAGACUUUGUGUCCAGGCAUCAUGAUCCUUGCUGUAGCUCCACACCACAGCUCUCUCUUCCUUCUGCCUCUCAAAAUAGGCUGGAGAGAUGGCUCAGUGGUUAAGAACACUGGCUGUUCUUCCAGGGGACUCUGGUUCCAUUCCUAGCACCCACAGUGAGGCUCACAACUGUUUGUAACUCCAGCUCCAGGGGAUCUGAUGCCCUCUUCUAGCCUCUGUGGGCACUGGGCACUCACAUGGUUCACAUUCACAGAUGCAGACAAAACACUCAAACCCAUAAAAUAAAAAUUAAAACAAAACCCACAUGCAUCCAUGCUUUGCCAUAAGAUCAGCUGGGGUUGUUCCUCCUUUCUCUGUUUGGUGUCUACUUUCUGUGGGCCACUGUGUGUGUGUGUGUGUGUGUGUGUGUGUGUGUGUGUGUGUGUGUGUGUGUGUGUGUGUGUGUUUAUGUAGGUUUGGGUGUACAUUUAGUGCUUUCACGUAGAAGCCACAGGACAAUAACCUGGGGUGUUGUUACUCAGGUGCCAUCCACUUAAAUUUCCUUUUUUCAAACAAAAUCUCUCACUGGCUUGGGACUUAGCAGUAGGCUAGGUUGGUAGGCCUAGUAAUAGCAGGCCAGUGACCUAAAGGGUUCCAUCUGUCUUUUCCUCUCUAGAUCUGGGUUUACAGGUACUGAUACCAUGCCUGGCGGUUUUUCAUGUGUUGUAGAGAUGCAGCUCAGGUCCUCAUGCUUACAAGGCAAGCAUUUUCUUAACUGAACUAUCUCCUCAAUCUCCAUAGGUCCCUUUUCUCAGGAAACAAUGGAGAAUGAUGCUUAUGGAGCACCUGUCUUUACUUGUACCAUGCUGAGCGUUGCCCUGAGUUACCAGAGGACGAGGGUGUGGCUCAGUGAAGUCAAAGUCAUGUCCAAGAUCAUGUGGCUGUGAAGCAGAGCUGGGAUUCAGAUUUCUCCGGAGAGGCUGGGGAAAGGAAACCACACCCAUGGUGUAUUCGCCUAUGCCGGGGCAUAGUUGCAAUCGGCAAAAGCAGAGGGAAAAUGGGUGGAUCUUACUGGCCUGUGUGGAGCUUGGGAAACUUCACAGCCUCGUUUGGAACUCCUCUGUAAGGAGACAGAACAAACAUUGGAGGAUUGCUUGAGUCCUUUGAUGGAUAUCAGUGGCAAAAACAGAUGUGUUGAAAGGGGAUCACUUCUAGUUACCUGUAAGUGUGGUGGGGCCCUUGGAGAUCUGUAGGAGCAGUUGCAAGGGGCCCCUGUAGACCAGCAUUCCCCAAGCUGCAGCAUCUGUGCCAAGCAAGAAAUCGAUAAUGUUUCACACACUGCGUGGCCGAGGUGUAGAGCUGCCGGCUACAGCUGAACGUAAUGGCGACCCUUUAUCACUCUAUGAAAGGAGACUCCAUAGAAGAUGAUGAACAGUGUCAGCAUCCACUAAUUAAUCCAUCAGCGAAGAAUGCUGCCAGCAUCGCUCCAUCAUUAGCCAAUCUCCAAAAGAAGCAAGAGGACCUGCUGAUGGGCAUCCGAUGGCUUCGAAUGCCUCUGUCAUUCAUUUUUCAUCCAUCAGGUACGCAUAUCACCAUGGAAGAGGAGGCAGAAAGAGCGGAAGAGCCAAAGGUAGUGGACGGUUGCAGCGAGACAGCACUCUUCAGUCACAAAAAGAGGAAGCUGUAUACGUGAACUCACAGAGGCUGUAACAGCAAGCACCAGGCCUGUGCGAGCUCAAGCCAGACAAACAUCCCAGUGUGGACAGGGAGAGACUUAACUCCAACAGGAGAAGCAAGACUGGCCUGCUUUGGGAGUAAAGUUUGAUUAAUGCCAGAUCCUUAAACAGAGAGAGAAAGGGAGAGAGAAGACUUGAGAAAAUGGAGACAUAAGUUGAGAUCAUCUGUCAUGCCGGCUGCCACUCUGCAUCAUAUUAUCUGGAUAAGAAAAUCAGCCCAUGGGACGAUCUGCAAGGUGCACAGCGAGUCCCAUUGUUCUGUUCUGGACAUGACUUAGGUCACUUCAGCUCCUCACCACAUAGCAAGCUGGUAAGCUGUUCGUCCCCUUUCCUGCGCCUUAUUAAGAAGUGAAGCCCAGAAGCUGACUAAUAGAAGGAGCUAACUCAGAGGUAGGCACUGGGCUCUUACCUCUGUGAUACUGCUCUUCAGAAGAAUGGUCGAGGCUGAGGUAGAGCUUCAAAGAGCCUUGUUUAGCUGCACGUUCCACUCCCUUCUAUCCAUCUGAACACGAUCAUACCUACUCUUCAGUCUCAAAAAUGUAUAGUCUUAGGACCCUUCUCAGGGGUUCUUCUGGGCUUGACCUAACUCCUAUGUACUCUAGUCCAAUACUCAAUGCCCUGUGGCCCAGGCUUAACCUUUGGGAUGCAUAUAUGAUCAGCACCCACACAGCUGGGAAUCACUGAGUCACGGGGCCGAGUUGCUGCUUGCAUGUUUUGCGCCUGGAAAUGAGAUUUAUAGGGCAGAGUGUCUUUGCCUCCCACACUUCUGGCAGGUUUCCUGUGCAUUCCUGCUGCAGAGCCUUAUGGCGCUUAUCUCUCAUAUCUCAAAGAGAAGCCUUUUAACAAGGGUCACUAUCCACAAAUGACAGAGUAUAGUAAAUUUAGACCUGAAAGCCACCGCAGUGAAUGCCUUGGCAGGCUACUCCCUCAUAGUUCUGGACAAGUGAAUUAGGGAAUGUGCUCAUUCAUCUGUUCAUUUCCUUUUUACCUCUCAAUUUACCCUCCAGGUAAGAUGUGUAAGUGAGGAAUGGGAAGAGCCAAGGAGAACUCAAAUACAGAAGCUGUUUGUAAUGCUGCUUUGCAGGUCUAACUCCUUU